rnacentral:rRNA from 1 species
CAAGCGCAAGGGUAGGUGGUGGAUGCCUAGACACUAAAUGGCGAUGAAGGACGUGGCGUAACUGCGAUAAGUCUCGGGUAGAUGUGUAGCAAUCUUUGAUCCGGGAAUUUCCGAAUGGGGCAACCCUCUGUGGCAAACCCGCAGAACUAUACGUGUAACAGCGUAAAGAGCGUACCUGGGGAAGUGAAACAUCUCAGUACCCAGAGGAAAAGAAACUAAUUAAAGUAUUCCCUAAUUAGCGGCGAGCGAAAGGGGAUAAGCCUAAACCCAUUUUUAAAAUGGGUGUUGCAAGACUAAAACAUUUACGCAACUUAUAGCUUAUAGCUUCGAAUGAAGCUAAAAGCUAAAAGCUAGUGUAGGUUGGUUACAAAUCGAUGUGUUAGCUGAAGUCGCUGGAAAGCGACUCCAUAGAAGGUGAUAGGCCUGUAAGCGAAAACAUAUCGACCAACUCGUUUUUGUUCUUAAGUACCUCAUGGCAAGAUAACCCUGAGGGAAUCCGGGAGUACUAUCUCCUAAGGCUAAAUACAUUUAGUGAUCGAUAGUGAACAAGUACCGUGAGGGAAAGGUGAAAAGCAGCCCAGUAAGGGCGAUGAAAUAGUACCUGAAACCACUUACUUACAAGCAGACGGAGCUCAACCGUGCUUCGCACGGAGAUUUCGACAUUUCGAUAUAUCGAUAUUUCCGCGCGGAGCGCGGCGAGUGACGUCGUGCCUAUUGAAGAAUGAGCCAGCGAGUUUACGUACACUGCAAGCCUAAUCCGCCUCGCGCGGAGAAGGCGCAGGGAAACCAAGUCUUAACAGGGCGACCUUAGUAGUGUGUGUAGGACCCGAAACCAGGCGAGCUUACCUUGGUCAGGGUGAAAUUCGAGUAAAAUUGAAUGGAGGCCCGAACCGGUAGAUUGUGCAAAAUCUUCGGAUGAACUGAGGUACGGAGUGAAAUGCUAAUCGAGCUUGGUAAUAGCUGGUACUCUCCGAAAUAGCUUUAGGGCUAGCGUUUGUUUAUAGUUUCUUGCAGGUAGAGCGACUGGUUGAAGUGGAUAGGGCGCAAGCUCGCCUCUUCAGUCAAACUCCAAAUGGCAAGAAAUGUUAACAGGCAGUUAGACUACGGGGGCUAAGCUCCGUGGUCAAAAGGGAAACAGCCCAGAUCGUAAUCUAAGGUCCCUAAAUUCUUACUAAGUGUUAAAGGUGGUCUUUAUCCUUAAACAGAUAGAAGGUUGGCUUAGAGGUAGCCAUCCUUUAAAGAGUGUGUAACAACCCACUAUUCGAGGUUAUUGGCGCCGAAAAUUUAUCGGGGCUAAGUAAGAUACCGAAGAUACGGAUUAUAGAAAUCCUUCGGGAUUUCUAUAGUGGUAGGAGAGCAUUCCUAUGGCGUUGAAGGUUGAUCCGUGAGGACAACUGGAGCAGUAGGAAGCGAGAAUGCUGGCAUGAGUAAUCGCAAAGUCGGUGAAAAACCGACUCCCCGCAAAUCCAAGGUUUCCUCCGCAACGGAAAUCGGCGGAGGGUUAGGCGGCCCUAAGGCAAUGGCGAAAGCCGUAGCCGAUGGACAGCUGGUCAAUAUUCCAGCCCCUUCAUAUUCUUUGUCCGAUGGGGUAACGGAGUGUAGUAGGUCUUGCAUCUUAAUGGUUUGGUGUCUUUUAUCGAGGGUGAGACGUUAGUAAAUCUGCGUCUCUGCAUUUAAUUGCAAACUUCAGAGAAAAGGCGAGUGGAAGGUUUUCCUUCUGCAAGUAGACCGAGCACGCUUCCAAGAAAAACCUCUAAGGCCGGAUAUGAAGUCCGUACCGCAAACCGACACAGGUGGAUGAGGCGAGAAGCCUCAGGGGAACGGGUGAGUCCUCGUUAAGGAACUCGGCAAAAAAUCGACCGUAACUUCGGGAUAAGGUCUGCCCUGCUUAGGCAGGGCCGCAGCGAAAGUCUCUCUGGCGACUGUUUACCAAAAACACAGCUCCCUGCGAACUCGCAAGAGGAUGUAUAGGGGGUGACGCCUGACCGAUGCGAGAAGGUUAACGUCGGAGGUGCAUGAAACUUCGGUUUCAUAUGCUUACUGACCGAAGCCCUCGUCAAUGUCAGCGAUAACUAUAAUCGUUCUAAGGUAGCGCAUUUCCUUUCCGGGUAAGUUCCGGAGCGCACGAAAGGCGUAACGACUGGAGAACUGUCUCAACGAGGAGCCCGAUGAAAAUGCGAUUCCCGUGAAGACGCGGGAUACCGGCAGCAAGACGAAAAGACCCCGGAAGCUUUACUGUAGCUUGAUAUUGGCACUAAUGUAUAAAUGCGUAGCAUAGUGGGGAGGCUUUGAAACUCUACUUUCGGGUAGAGUGGAGCCAUCAGUGAAAUACCCAUCUUUUACGCGUUAGUGUCUAACCCAAUGUGACAAACACAUUAGGAACAGUGUCUGGUGGGCAGUUUAUCUGGGGCGGAUUCCUCCUAAAGAGUAACGGAGGAGUUUAUCAAGGUUGGCUUAGCCCGGAUGGAAAUCGGGCUGGACGUAUAAAGGCACAAGCCAGCUUAACUGCAAGACCUACAAGUCGAGCAGGUGCGAAAGCAGAACUUAGCGACCCGACGAAUCUUUAUAGGAAGGUCGGAGACAACGGCUAAAAGCUACUCCGGGGAUAACAGGCUGGUCGCGUCCGAGAGUCCAUAUCGACGACGCGGUUCGGCACCUCGAUGUCGGCUCACCACAUCCUGGGGCUGGAGAAGGUCCCAAGGGUUUGGCUGUUCGCCAAUUAAAGUGGUACGCGAGCUGGGUUCAGACCGUUAAGCAAUGAAUGGUCUGUAUUCGAGAAACAACAUAAUGUAGCAAAAUGAUUGUGAUCAUUGACUGUUUAACAGUCUGAAUCACUAUUGAGGGUAUUUUCGUCUUUUAAAGAAGUAUAGAGAUAGAACAAUCAACCACGGCGGUCUAUUACAGUAAUGUAAUAUGAUGAAGUCGAUUUAUAUCGAUAAAACCCAUUAAGUGGGCAAUAUCGAGGGAACCCUUCGAUUCGACACUAUGUGUCUCACUCAGGGUAAACCUUGUCAUUAAAUUGGCAGGGCUUGCCCCGAGCGAGGCGCUUAGCGCCGAGUCGAGGGGGCCCGUAGAGACUAAACAUCGACCUUCCUUGUAAAAGGAAGAAGCUAUAGUCCUAUGCAGCGAGUAAUCGCUGAUAACAUGCGUGAGACAGGUUGGUCUCUAUCUGCUGUCGGCGCGUGAUGUUUGAGGGAAGUCGACUCUAGUACGAGAGGACCGAGUUGAACGAACCUCUGGUCUACCAGCUUUGCCACCAGGUGAAUCGCUGGGUAGCUAUGUUCGGUAAGGAUAAGCGCUGAAAGCAUCUAAGCGCGAAGCCCCACCCAAGAUUAAACAUCAGGUCCGCUUUUAGCAGACCAAAAUUCCUGGAAGACUACCAGGUUGAUAGGCUUCAGGUAAAAGUCCGGUAACGGAUUAAGCCGAGAAGUACUAAUAAU